AGCCACAGCCAUGUCACCCUGCAGCCCAAGACCGGUUACUCACUAAAGCUAAGCAGGGCUGAGCCUGGUCAGUACCUGGAUGGGAGACCACAUGGGAACACUAGGUAGCUGUUGGAA
rfam:Danio rerio chromosome 1 genomic contig CTG104, GRCz11 reference primary assembly.